AUUGAACGCUGGCGGCAGGCCUAACACAUGCAAGUCGAACGAGUGGCGGACGGGUGAGUAAUGUCUGGGAAACUGCCCGAUGGAGGGGGAUAACUACUGGAAACGGUAGCUAAUACCGCAUACCAUCGGAUGUGCCCAGAUGGGAUUAGCUAGUAGGGGGGGUAACGGCUCACCUAGGCGACGAGCCCUAGCUGUUCUGAGAGGAUGACCAGCCACACCGGAACUGAGACACGUUCCAGACCCCUAAGGGAGGUAGCAGUGGGGAAGAUUGCACAAUGGGCGCAAGCCUGAUGCAGCCAUGCCGCGUAGAUGAAGAAGGCCUUCGGGUUUUAAAGUACUUUCAGCGGGGAGGCGUUACCCGCAGAAGAAGCACCGGCUAACUCCGUGCCAGCAGCCGCGGUAAUAC
rnacentral:rRNA from 1 species